CUUUUUAGUCACACAUCACAGACUAAAUCAGAGAUCUUCACCUCGCUGUCGUUUCUUCAGUUUUACCCAGACGGCAGUGCAGUGGAUCUCCUGAGCCUCAACAAGGACACCUUAGAGCUGAAAACACAUCCUGUUCUUGGGAGUGUUAUUGAAGGCUUAUAUGAGGUGUGUGUGCGUUCAGCCGAAGAAGCCUUAAAUAUGUAUGAAACCUGCAGAGAGACGAUGCAA